rnacentral:rRNA from 2 species
GCGCAAGCCUGAUGCAGCCAUGCCGCGUGUGUGAAGAAGGCCUUCGGGUUGUAAAGCACUUUCAGUCGUGAGGAAGGUGGUAGUGUUAAUAGCACUAUCAUUUGACGUUAGCGACAGAAGAAGCACCGGCUAACUCCGUGCCAGCAGCCGCGGUAAUACGGAGGGUGCGAGCGUUAAUCGGAAUUACUGGGCGUAAAGCGCAUGCAGGUGGUUUGUUAAGUCAGAUGUGAAAGCCCGGGGCUCAACCUCGGAAUAGCAUUUGAAACUGGCAGACUAGAGUACUGUAGAGGGGGGUAGAAUUUCAGGUGUAGCGGUGAAAUGCGUAGAGAUCUGAAGGAAUACCGGUGGCGAAGGCGGCCCCCUGGACAGAUACUGACACUCAGAUGCGAAAGCGUGGGGAGCAAACAGGAUUAGAUACCCUGGUAGUCCACGCCGUAAACGAUGUCUACUUGGAGGUUGUGGCCUUGAGCCGUGGCUUUCGGAGCUAACGCGUUAAGUAGACCGCCUGG